rnacentral:rRNA from 1 species
AUGGAAAAGUUCGCGCGUGCUCUGCGGCUGCGGUGGCCUUGGUAUGAAUGGAAGGAGCCCACCAAGUUGUGGGUCGGGAUGGGCAACCCGUGCAAUGAGGAGGACCUCAACUUUUUCUAUGCGUCAACCACUAUCACCGUGGGCAAUGGUGCGAAGACACCUUUUUGGGAAUCACCUUGGCUUCUUGGGCGCAAGCCAAAGAACAUUGCACCAUUAAUAUUCGAAGUCUCCUCGCGAAAGAAGUGGAAAGUGCGCGAGGCCAUCAAGCACAACGCAUGGAUGCUCAAGAUCAAGCCUCCAACCGUUAUUUCCGUUGAGUUCAUCACACAAUUUUUCACCCUUUGGAUGCUAUUGGAUGAGGUGCAUCUUGAUGCGCUCGCCGAGGACGACAUUUUAUGGAAACACACGACUAGUGGGCACUACUCGGCGGCCUCGGCAUAUAAGGCGCAAUUCAUAGGGAUGGUGUUUUCACCCAUGGACCAAAUGGUUUGGAAGGUCUGGGGUCCCCCCAAAGUAAAGUUCUUUGCUUGGUUGGCACUUCAAGAUAGAAUUUGGACCGCAGACAGAUUAGCCAAGAGAGGAUGGCCAAAUUGUGGUUUGUGUCCACUUUGCAAGAGGGUGCAAGAAAGCGGGUCACACCUAUUCUUCAAGUGCCGCUAUACUCUAAGGCUGUGGGCGUUGGUCAUUGAAAAAUUUCACAUCUUCGAGUUGGACACCUCUUCAUGGCACUUGUUGGACUCCGUCAACGCUUGGUGGACAAGCACUUGUGACGCCGGCACGCCAAACCGUCAAGCCAAAGCCUCCCUCACCAUGCUUGUGUCAUGGACAAUUUGGAAUGAGCGAAAUGCAAGAGUGUUUAGGUUUAAAAGCGCUCCACCGACUAUCUUGUUUAACACCAUCACGACCGAGGCCAACCUUUGGGUCACCGCCCGUGCAAAAAAAUUAGGGUCUUUCAUAUCGCGAGAGUAA